rnacentral:lncRNA from 1 species
GUCUCCUAAAAGUUCACAUGUAAAACAAUGCAAGAAGUUUUGGAGGAGAAAUGAUUAGAAAGUAAUCUUAAUUUAAUCAGCGAAUUAAUUUCUGAUGGUAACUGGAAGCAGGUAGAAUGUGGCCAGAGGAAGUGGUUCUUUUGGGGCGUGGUCUAUGGGGUAUAUAUUUUGUAUCUGGAGAGUGGAGGCUGUCUCUCUGCUUUGAGAUCACCAUGUGAGCCACUUCCCUCUGCCACACUCUUUGGCCCAGUCGUUCGGCCUCACCUCAAGCCUAGAAGAAUGGAGCUGGCCUUCUAUGGACUAAGACCUCUGAAACCAUGAGCCCUAAAAUAAACUUUUCCUCCUUUAUAGUUGUUUAGUCAUAACAGCAAAAAAGCUGACUAAAACACCAGUCCAGGUAUGAUAAUAAUAUUUCCUAGGCUUAAAGCGGCUAGUACACUAAAAGUACUUAACGUGUAACAACUGCCAAACAACCAUCCUUCAGACUGUAGGAACAGACCCUGUAAUAAUUAUUUUUGUGUUUUCAGAAUCUAACAUACCCAGUUCGUAAUUUGCAUUUGAUGAAUGUGUCUAAAAAUGAAUGGGUAAAAAUAGUAGUUCAAAGUAAUUAUUCCCAUUCCCAUUACCUGUUCUUUAAAUAUCAAGUUUUUCACUUUUCCCUAAACUUUAUCUGAAUGGAAAACUCCAAAUUCUUCAUAGGUUGGGACUAGUGUAAAACAGAGGGAAACUCUUCCCUCAGCCUUAACCUUUAGAAAUACAACUCCUACUGAUGCAACCCCAAAUCAAAUUAGAUUUGUUUGGUUUGGUUUAGGUUUUUUUUCAGCAGCAUGACACUAAUGAUUCAUGUAAUGUAGUAAUGAUUCGUGUAAUGUAGUAAUGAUUCAUGUUUGGCAUGUAAUAGGUUCUCAGAUAAUUUUAGUUCCAUUCCCCUCAUAUGUUGAAAUUAUUAUCAAGUUGAAAAGGCAAGAUUUUUUGUUUUGUUGGGUUGGGUUUUGUUUUGAUUCUAGUCAUGCUGCUUUUCAGUGUCAGCCUAUCUCCAAUAUGUAUCCUUACAUGUGGAUUUUAAGAUACAAACUACAAAAUCAUGUAUGUUUAUUUAAAUUUGAAUUUUAUUUUAUUCAAAUUUUCUACUUAAUUCUCUGUUUAAAUUUCAUCUGCUAGAAGUUUCUUAAUCCUGAGUACAUCUUCCAAAUAAUUUAUUGCCUUAUUCUUCUGUAAAUUUGAGGACGUACCUUCCAUAUUUUUAUUCAAAUAUUUGAUUUAACAGGAUAAAAACAGCUUAGUAACUGCUAGCAAUAUUCUGGUUGAGAUCAACUCACUUUAAGACAGUCAUAGCAUUGAUUUUAGGAGAUUACAAACAGCAGGGUUUUAAAAAAUGAAAUAGACUAGAAACACAGAAUGGGAAAUGUCAAGAUGCAUCUUUUGGUAAGGGUAGGUACUGUUUUAUGAGAGUUGAUUUAAUUAUGUGUAUACAUACACAUGUACAUAGUGUAUAUGUGUAUAUGUGUGUAUGGUUACUGGAUAAUGAUGUAAAAUUUAGUUCUUACUGCAAGUCAUAGUCAAAAGUUUGGAGACUACUGAUUUAAGUUGUCAAGCACCUGUUUUGUAUAAUCUUUCAACUGUUAAUUAACAACCAUUCUGUGCCAACAACUAGACCAUAUUUCUCUAAUUUGUCCCAAAGAGACAUUGAUAACUGCCUAGCUAG